AGGGGAGUGAAAUAGAACCUGAAACCGUGUGCUUACAAGUAGUCAGAGCCCGUUAAUGGGUGAUGGCGUGCCUUUUGUAGAAUGAACCGGCGAGUUACGAUUUGAUGCAAGGUUAAGCAGUAAAUGUGGAGCCGUAGCGAAAGCGAGUCUGAAUAGGGCGUUUAGUAUUUGGUCGUAGACCCGAAACCAGGUGAUCUACCCUUGGUCAGGUUGAAGUUCAGGUAACACUGAAUGGAGGACCGAACCGACUUACGUUGAAAAGUGAGCGGAUGAACUGAGGGUAGCGGAGAAAUUCCAAUCGAACCUGGAGAUAGCUGGUUCUCUCCGAAAUAGCUUUAGGGCUAGCCUCAAGUGAUGAUUAUUGGAGGUA
rnacentral:rRNA from 1 species